rnacentral:rRNA from 1 species
GGUUGACCUCGGAUCAGGUAGGGAUACCCGCUGAACUUAAGCAUAUCAAUAAGCGGAGGAAAAGAAACCAACAGGGAUUGCCUCAGUAACGGCGAGUGAAGCGGCAACAGCUCAAAUUUGAAAUCUGGCCCCUCCCGGGGUCCGAGUUGUAAUUUGUAGAGGAUGCUUCGGGCAAGGCCGCGGUCUAAUUCGCUUGGAACAGCGGGUCACAGAGGGUGAGAAUCCCGUCUAGGACCGUGCGUCGCGCCCGUGUGAAGCUCCUUCGACGAGUCGAGUUGUUUGGGAAUGCAGCUCUAAAUGGGUGGUAAAUUUCAUCUAAAGCUAAAUAUUGGCCAGAGACCGAUAGCGCACAAGUAGAGUGAUCGAAAGAUGAAAAGCACUUUGAAAAGAGAGUUAAACAGUAUGUGAAAUUGUUGAAAGGGAAGCGCUUGCAACCAGACUUGCGCGUGACGGUUCCCCCGGCCUCCUGGCCGGGCCACUCCGUCAUGUCCAGGCCAACAUCGGUUCGGGUGGUCGGUCAAAGACUCCGGGAAUGUAUCUACCUCCGGGUCGACUUAUAGCCCGGGGUGUAAUGCGGCCCACCCGGACCGAGGAACGCGCUCCGGCUCGGAUGUUGGCGUAAUGGUUGUAAGCGGCCCGUCUUGAAACACGGACCAAGGAGUCUAACAUCUAUGCGAGUGUUUGGGUGUCAAACCCCUACGCGUAAUGAAAGUGAACGGAGGUAAGAACCCGCCCCCCCGGGGGAGGGCGCAUUAUCGACCGAUCCUGAUGUCUUCGGAUGGAUUUGAGUAGGAGCAUAGCUGUUGGGACCCGAAAGAUGGUGAACUAUGCGUGAAUAGGGUGAAGCCAGAGGAAACUCUGGUGGAGGCUCGCAGCGGUUCUGACGUGCAAAUCGAUCGUCAAAUUUGCGCAUAGGGGCGAAAGACCAAUCGAACCGUCUGGUAGCUGGUUCCUGUC